ACUAUCGCAUGCAUUUUGGCGAGUGUGUGCCUAUCAAAUGCGUUACCACUAAGCAGUCUGUUGAUUCUUUUAGUUUAGUUUAGUUUUAUUUAGUUUAGGAACCACGGCUUGGAUGAUGUUGAGGGGAAAAGCGAGCAGUAACCUCGGUGCUUGACGCUAAAAGUCUGUAAGGUUCCAUUUAACCACUGUGUAUUUCCCUAGUCUGUGGGCUUCUUUGGCUGCUGCGUCAACUGAAGUGUUCUGAUGGAUGUUAGCGUGUCCGGGAAUGCGAUAAAGGUUUCCUGAAUAUUCUUCGCCAGAAUGAGAGCCCCGUUUCUGCUGUCUUUUAGGAGCCCGAGACGAGGAAAAUUGUACGAAAUACCAUGGUCUAAUGCCUUCUCGAUAACAAGCAGCUCGGCGGACAAAGAGGAAAGGAUUUUGUGCGUGUAAUAAUUAUCAAAAAAACCUGUUCUAUGGUGCAGGAAAGCGGCGCUGGAAUGUCCUGCUGCGACUGACCCGU